rfam:Meleagris gallopavo isolate NT-WF06-2002-E0010 breed Aviagen turkey brand Nicholas breeding stock chromosome 5, whole genome shotgun sequence.
CAAUAGGUCUUUUUAAGACCACUUUUUUUUUAAAGGAAAAUAAAGU